rnacentral:tRNA from 1 species
GGUCCCAUAGUCCAGUGGCUAAGACGUGUCCUUGACUUGGACGAGAUCCAGGUUCGAUUCCUGGUGGGACCA